rnacentral:rRNA from 1 species
UACGAAAGGUGCUAGCGUUGUUCGGAAUUACUGGGCGUAAAGCGCACGUAGGCGGCCUUGUAAGAUGGGGGUGAAAUCCCUGGGCUCAACCCAGGAACUGCCUUCAUGACUGCAAAGCUUGAGGAUGUGAGAGGUUGGCGGAAUUCCGAGUGUAGAGGUGAAAUUCGUAGAUAUUCGGAAGAACACCGGUGGCGAAGGCGGCCAACUGGCACAUUUCUGACGCUGAGGUGCGAAAGCGUGGGGAUCAAACAGG